CCUACGGGUGGCAGCAGUGAGGAAUAUUGGUCAAUGGGCGCGAGCCUGAACCAGCAAAGUAGCGUGAAGGAUGAAGGAGCUAUGGUUUGUAAACUUCUUUUAUAUAGGAAUAAAGUGAGGAACGUGUGCCUUUUUGUAUGUACGAUAUGAAUAAGCAUAGGCUAACUCCGUGCCAGCAGCCGAGGUAAUACGGAGGAUUGGAGCGUUAUCCGGAUUUAUUGGGUGUAAAGGGAGCGUAGGUGGUGAGUUAAGUCAGUGGUGAAAGUUUGCGGCUCAACCGUAAAAGUGCAUUUGAUACUGGCGGACUUGAGUGUAGAUGAGGUAGGCGGAAUGCGUGGUGUAGCGGUGAAAUGCUUAGAUAUCACGCAGAACACCGAUUGCGAAGGCAGCUUACUAAUCUAUAACUGACACUGAGGCUCGAAAGCGUGGGUAUCAAACAGGAUUAGAUACCCGAGUAGUC
rnacentral:rRNA from 1 species